rnacentral:lncRNA from 1 species
AAAUAGCUACUUACCUGAUGUCACAUAUAGUUAAACUUUUGGUUCUGUCAUACAGUAUUUCUACAGUUCAAUCUAGAGCAGAUGCAACUGCAGUGGACAUGGGACUUGUCUUCAACUCAUCUUCUACCACAGGAGAUCUCCCAUCAAAUGCUGUUGUCGCCCAAACAUUAGUAGACGCUGCAAAUAACACUACUAAUAAUUUCAGUGUGAGCAUAAACCCCUCUACAGUUACAGUUUUAUCCAGUCCAGUGUCUACACCUUUUACACCUGCAAAUGCAACUUUAACAACUGUAGCAUCUACAACAUCUACAACUCUACCAACUGCAUCUACAACAACAACAACUACAGCAGCUACAACAGUUGGCAUUUCAAUAAUACCAGUGACAUUCAAAUCUCGCUUGGACACAUUUACAAGUGACUUAAAUAAUCCAUUAUCUGCACGUUUUAUACAGCGAACUGCAACGAUAACAUCACAGCUCAAACCUCUUUUUAAAAAUGAUUUUCCAAGCUUAAUCAACAUGACUAUUGUGAAAUACAGGAAUGGAUCAAUUGACAACUUCUUUGACCUGAGCUUUAGUAGCACAUCCGUUCCUAACAACACUCAGAUUGCAAAUGUUCUGAUUAACGCAUCUUCAUUUGUCACUGGCUUUGACAUUGAUGUCAGCUCCAUCAUUGUGAAUAACAUACCUUCAGGUGGAGUAGCACACAAGAUCAGCCUCGUCACUGCGUCCUGCCUCGUGCUGUUGUCAUUGCUACUGUCAAGCCACCAAUAGUCUGUGCUGAACUAAGGAUCAAGAAACAAUGAGCGAUGUUUGCGUGAAACAAAUGGGGACACACGACUUUGACGACGCGUUGGGGACCGAACGCCUCAGACUGAUCUGGCUCCUCAACACCAGCCCAAUCACGACUCACCCAUGUCUAUUCUGAUUUGAAUUACCAAGCAGAAGAUUCUGCUCUCCAAUUUAGUAACAACAGAUUUACAUUUAGAGGUUUUGAUAAAUGCGCAACGGUUAUAUUUUUUUAGAAAAAACUGCACUGAACAGACACAGAAAUGCGGCAGCAGCACGAAGCGGAAACAAACGAUCAAAGCGGACAGUCCGGCUUUACCAGCAGCAUUAAGAUGCCAUCUCGCGUCCCGUGAGAAUGUUUGAUUGUUCGGUUUUCGUUUAUGAAAAACUCUGAUAUAGUUGAAUCUCAACAAAAUCAAAUAUUUAAUGUGAUAUUUGUCUAAAAGGUUAAACGGAAACGCAAACUUAAAUAUACAAAUACCAAAACUUAAUAAAUUAAAAUAAACUCAAGGUGUAUUUUAAAUA